CUCGGAUGAAUACCUCAGGGGGUAGAGCACUGGAUGGGCUAGGGGGACUUACCGUCUUACCAAACCCAACCAAACUCCGAAUACCUGAGAGUACUAUCCGGGAGUCACACGGCGGGUGCUAACGUCCGUCGUGGAGAGGGAAACAACCCGGACCUACAGCUAAGGCCCCUAAUUCGUGGCUAAGUGGGAAAGGAUGUGGAAAUCCCAAAACAACCAGGAGGUUGGCUUAGAAGCAGCCAUCCUUUAAAGAAAGCGUAACAGCUCACUGGUCUAAAUAAGGGUUCCUGCGGCGAAGAUGUAACGGGGCUCAAGACACGCACCGAAGCUUAGGGUGUGGAUUUAUCCACGCGGUAGCGGAGCGUUCCGUAGGCCGUUGAAGCGAUCUGGUAAUGGGUCGUGGAGGUAUCGGAAGUGCGAAUGCAGACAUGAGUAGCGAUAAACAGGGUGAGAUGCCCUGUCGCCGAAAGACCAAGGGUUCCUGCGCAAGGCUAAUCCGCGCAGGGUGAGCCGGCCCCUAAGACGAGCCCGAAGGGGGUAGUCGAUGGGAACCACGUUAAUAUUCGUGGGCCUGGAGAUGUGUGACGGAUCGUAGAAGUUGUUCGACCUUAUUGGUUUGGUCGGGCUUCCAAGCGGUUCCAGGAAAUAGCCUCUCCAUAUAGACCGUACCCGAAACCGACACAGGUGGUCAGGUAGAGUAUACCAAGGCGCUUGAGAGAAGUAUCCUGAAGGAACUCGGCAAAUUGCCUCCGUACCUUCGGAAGAAGGAGGCCCCGGCUAUGCGCAAGCACUGUCGGGGGGCACAGGCCAGGGGGUAGCGACUGUUUAGCAAAAACACAGCACUCUGCUAAGUCGGCUUCAAGACGACGUAUAGGGUGUGACGCCUGCCCGGUGCUCGAAGGUUAAGAGGAGGAGUGCAAGCUCCGAAUUGAAGCCCGAGUAAACGGCGGCCGUAACAAUAACGGUCCUAAAGGUAGCGAAAUUCCUUGUCGGGUAAGUUCCGACCUGCACGAAUGGCGUAACGACUUCCCCACUGUCUCCAGGAUAUGCUCAGCGAAAUUGAAUUCUCCGUGAAGAUGCGGAGUACCCGCGGUUAGACGGAAAGACCCCGUGCACCUUUACUGCAGCUUCAGAGUGGCAUUAGGAAAGAAUUGUGUAGCAUAGGUGGGAGGCUUUGAAGCAUGGGCGCCAGCCCGUGUGGAGCCAUAGGUGAAAUACCACCCUGUUGUUUUCUGAUGUCUAACCUCGAACCAUGAAACUGGUUCAGGGACCCUCUGUGGCGGGUAGUUUGACUGGGGCGGUCGCCUCCUAAAGAGUAACGGAGGCGCGCGAAGGUUGGCUCAGGCCGGUUGGAAACCGGCUGUUAGAGUGCAAUGGCAUAAGCCAGCCUGACUGCGAGACUGACAAGUCGAGCAGAGACGAAAGUCGGUCAUAGUGAUCCGGUGGUCCCGCGUGGAAGGGCCAUCGCUCAACGGAUAAAAGGUACGCCGGGGAUAACAGGCUGAUGACCCCCAAGAGUCCAUAUCGACGGGGUUGUUUGGCACCUCGAUGUCGACUCAUCGCAUCCUGGGGCUGGAGCAGGUCCCAAGGGUAUGGCUGUUCGCCAUUUAAAGCGGUACGUGAGUUGGGUUCAGAACGUCGUGAGACAGUUCGGUCCCUAUCUGCCGUGGGUGUAGGAAUAUUGAAAGGAUCUGUCCCUAGUACGAGAGGACCGGGAUGGACGGAUCUCUGGUGGACCUGUUGUGGCGCCAGCCGCAUUGCAGGGUAGCUAUAUCCGGACGGGAUAACCGCUGAAGGCAUCUAAGCGGGAAACCCACCUUGAAACGAGUAUUCCCUGAGAACCGUGGAAGACGACCACGUUGAUAGGCCGGGUGUGGAAGAGCGGCAACGCUUGAAGCUUA
rnacentral:rRNA from 1 species